rnacentral:rRNA from 1 species
UUAAUGGUGUUCGUUAUUACAUUAAUCUAUAUGUAAAUUUAUAAAAAAAAAUAAUUCUUAAGGAAUACUUUUAAGUAGUUAAUUUGGCAGUAGAUAAUUUUAUUGAUAUUAAUUUAGUUUAGAUUUAGUAAAUGUUAUUUAAAAGGUUUGGUCAAGGUUGUGCCAGCAUCCGCGGUUAGACAGCAAAAUCAAAUGAUCAUUAUUGGUUUUUAAAUAGUUAAUAUUAUUAUUAUAUGAAAAUUAAAGUAAUUUAAGGUGAAAUUUAUAUUAUUUAAGAUAUUUAUAUAAAUAUUAUUGUAUGAUUAUUAUGAAAUUAAAAGUAUAAACUAGGAUUAGAUACCCUAUUAUUUUUAUUGUAAAAAUUUAAUACUAGAGUAUUAAUAGUUAUGAUCUUUAAACUUAAAGAAUUUGGCGGUUUUAUAAUCUAUUUAGAGGAAUCUGUUAUGUAAUUGAAAAUCCACAUUGAACCUUACUUAUAUUAAUUUUUUGUAUACCGCUGUUAUAAGAAUAUUCUUUUAGGUAAUUUUCUUGAUAUAAAAUUAAUUAAUAUUUCAAGUCAAGGUGCAGUUAUAUAUAAGUUGAAUAAUGGAUUACAAUAAAUUUUAUUUAUUAUAUGGAUUAUUAUUGGAAGUUAAAUUUGAAGGUGGAUUUAAUUGUAAUUUUGUGAAGAUUAAUAAAAUGAUUAUAGCUCUAUAAUGUGUACAUAUCGCCCGUCACUCUCAUUAUAAGGUGAGAUAAGUCGUAACAAAGUAGAUGUAUCGGAAGAUGUAUCUAGGAGGAAAUAUUUAAUAA